AGUACAUUUGCGAUCUGCAUAAUACUAACAACUUGGUAAAUUCCUACUUGGACCAGAGCUCUAGCACUUGUAUAGUUUGUCCAAAUGUUUAUGGAUGGUUGAUUUAGAGGAUGAAGUGGUGUUUUUGCGCAAGUGGUUUUUCUUUCACCCAAGAAUAGUUUUAUAACACACAAACUGAGUUUUUAUCUUUGCAAAAGGUAAAAAAAGGUGCAUCGAAUCUGCGAUUAAACUACGGCACGAUGCGUCGAUCGGCAGUCACCCUUUUUCUAAUGUACUUACCUUUGUUCCACGCGAAAUCUGACGACGUCUUCUCAAACAUGACGGUGGGAGAGCUCCCUGAUGGAAUAAGGGAUCAAAUAGUAGGAAUGUUCAGCAUCAGACAGAGUAUAAUGUCUCAUUGCGAUCCACCCGACGUUGAGGGGGUGGAGUUUUUGCUUUAUACAAGGAACAACGUACGAGAACCGAUCGUAUUAAAUCCGUUAGAUCCAGUUGAAGUACCUACCAGUUUAAAAUCGACAGUUAUCAUUAUACACGGUUUUGUAUCAACUCCAAACGCAGUGGGCUUGCCAAAGCUUCGCAACGCAUACCUAAAUAAAGGCGGUUAUAACGUAAUCAUGGUCGACUGGAGCAAAACGGCCUUUACGGUUCACGCAGUCUGCUCCCUUCCUAUGAUUGCAAGUCAAGUGGCGAGGCUGGUGUGCUUACUAGACUCAAAGUAUAACGUUCCAAUUGAGACCGUCCACUUAGUUGGGCACUCGUUGGGCGCGCAAAUGUCAGGGUUCAUAGGACAGGAUACGUUAGAAAUCUGCCAAAAACCCGUCGGAAGGAUAACAGGAUUGGAUCCAACCGGAUCGGUAUUUUUUGGCGCACCGAUUCAAGACCGUUUGGAUCCAACCGAUGCAAAGUUCGUUCAGAUAAUUCACACUAACGGAGGUAUGAGUGGGUAUCUGACUCAGUGUGGGCACGUGGAUUUCUUCGUUAAUUGCGGCACAUUGCAGUUAAAUUGCAUGAUGCUCGACUUUAUGAAAAUACUAGAAACUAUUCUGAACGACCUGUUAUGCAGUCAUUUGAUCAGUAUAGACUAUAUGGCCGAAAGCCUCUCUUCGGACAAGUUUAUGGGGGUAAGUUGCUCGGGUUGUCCAUUUUUCUGCGCCGAGGAUGAAUCCGGGCGCAAAGAGAUAAUGGGCGAAUACACGCCGAAUACAACGACAGGCAGUUUUUUAGUAACUGUGACAUAAAUCUUAAUUACUUUUACUACUUUUUCAUUGUAACAUUUUGGCGCAAACUGGAUCCACUGGCGGUUGUUUCUCCUAAAGAAGCCUGCACUUAGAGACAUAGAACCAGAAGUAGUAUUGGGGCCGCCUGAGGCUGACAGUCACAUGAUGCGCUGGCCUACGUGCCGGUGACGUUAAAACAAGUAAAAAGGUUUUUGCCCUAAGGCGAAUAACUUUAUAAUAAUAAUAAUAACAUUUAUUGAUUAUUAAGUAAUCAAAAGGACAAGAUUCGGCAAAGCCGGUUUUCAAUCCUGACUAAAAACUUGCCAUAUUUCCUGGACAUACUUUCAACUAUAACAUCUUAUAAACAUUUAUAAA